UUAAGCGACUAAGCGUACACGGUGGAUGCCCUGGCAGUCAGAGGCGAUGAAGGACGUGCUAAUCUGCGAUAAGCGUCGGUAAGGUGAUAUGAACCGUUAUAACCGGCGAUUUCCGAAUGGGGAAACCCAGUGUGAUUCGUCACACUAUCAUUAACUGAAUCCAUAGGUUAAUGAGGCGAACCGGGGGAACUGAAACAUCUAAGUACCCCGAGGAAAAGAAAUCAACCGAGAUUACCCCAGUAGCGGCGAGCGAACGGGGAGGAGCCCAGAGCCUGAAUCAGUGUGUGUGUUAGUGGAAGCGUCUGGAAAGGCGCGCGAUACAGGGUGACAGCCCCGUACACAAAAAUGCACAUACUGUGAGCUCGAUGAGUAGGGCGGGACACGUGGUAUCCUGUCUGAAUAUGGGGGGACCAUCCUCCAAGGCUAAAUACUCCUGACUGACCGAUAGUGAACCAGUACCGUGAGGGAAAGGCGAAAAGAACCCCGGCGAGGGGAGUGAAAAAGAACCUGAAACCGUGUACGUACAAGCAGUGGGAGCCUCUUUAUGGGGUGACUGCGUACCUUUUGUAUAAUGGGUCAGCGACUUAUAUUCUGUAGCAAGGUUAACCGAAUAGGGGAGCCGAAGGAAACCGAGUCUUAACUGGGCGUUAAGUUGCAGGGUAUAGACCCGAAACCCGGUGAUUCUAGCCAUGGGCAGGUUGAAGGUUGGGUAACACUAACUGGAGGACCGAACCGACUAAUGUUGAAAAAUUAGCGGAUGACUUGUGGCUGGGGUGAAAGGCCAAUCAAACCGGGAGAUAGCUGGUUCUCCCCGAAAGCUAUUUAGGUAGCGCCUCGUGAAUUCAUCUCCGGGGGUAGAGCACUGUUUCGGCAAGGGGGUCAUCCCGACUUACCAACCCGAUGCAAACUGCGAAUACCGGAGAAUGUUAUCACGGGAGACACACGGCGGGUGCUAACGUCCGUCGUGAAGAGGGAAACAACCCAGACCGCCAGCUAAGGUCCCAAAGUCAUGGUUAAGUGGGAAACGAUGUGGGAAGGCCCAGACAGCCAGGAUGUUGGCUUAGAAGCAGCCAUCAUUUAAAGAAAGCGUAAUAGCUCACUGGUCGAGUCGGCCUGCGCGGAAGAUGUAACGGGGCUAAACCAUGCACCGAAGCUGCGGCAGCGACACUAUGUGUUGUUGGGUAGGGGAGCGUUCUGUAAGCCUGUGAAGGUGUACUGUGAGGUAUGCUGGAGGUAUCAGAAGUGCGAAUGCUGACAUAAGUAACGAUAAAGCGGGUGAAAAGCCCGCUCGCCGGAAGACCAAGGGUUCCUGUCCAACGUUAAUCGGGGCAGGGUGAGUCGACCCCUAAGGCGAGGCCGAAAGGCGUAGUCGAUGGGAAACAGGUUAAUAUUCCUGUACUUGGUGUUACUGCGAAGGGGGGACGGAGAAGGCUAUGUUGGCCGGGCGACGGUUGUCCCGGUUUAAGCGUGUAGGCUGAUUUUCCGUGCAAAUCCGGAAAAUCAAGGCUGAGGCGUGAUGACGAGGCACUACGGUGCUGAAGCAACAAAUGCCCUGCUUCCAGGAAAAGCCUCUAAGCAUCAGGUAACAUCAAAUCGUACCCCAAACCGACACAGGUGGUCAGGUAGAGAAUACCAAGGCGCUUGAGAGAACUCGGGUGAAGGAACUAGGCAAAAUGGUGCCGUAACUUCGGGAGAAGGCACGCUGAUAUGUAGGUGAAGCGACUUGCUCGUGGAGCUGAAAUCAGUCGAAGAUACCAGCUGGCUGCAACUGUUUAUUAAAAACACAGCACUGUGCAAACACGAAAGUGGACGUAUACGGUGUGACGCCUGCCCGGUGCCGGAAGGUUAAUUGAUGGGGUUAGCGGUAACGCGAAGCUCUUGAUCGAAGCCCCGGUAAACGGCGGCCGUAACUAUAACGGUCCUAAGGUAGCGAAAUUCCUUGUCGGGUAAGUUCCGACCUGCACGAAUGGCGUAAUGAUGGCCAGGCUGUCUCCACCCGAGACUCAGUGAAAUUGAACUCGCUGUGAAGAUGCAGUGUACCCGCGGCAAGACGGAAAGACCCCGUGAACCUUUACUAUAGCUUGACACUGAACAUUGAGCCUUGAUGUGUAGGAUAGGUGGGAGGCUUUGAAGUGUGGACGCCAGUCUGCAUGGAGCCGACCUUGAAAUACCACCCUUUAAUGUUUGAUGUUCUAACGUUGACCCGUGAUCCGGGUUGCGGACAGUGUCUGGUGGGUAGUUUGACUGGGGCGGUCUCCUCCUAAAGAGUAACGGAGGAGCACGAAGGUUGGCUAAUCCUGGUCGGACAUCAGGAGGUUAGUGCAAUGGCAUAAGCCAGCUUGACUGCGAGCGUGACGGCGCGAGCAGGUGCGAAAGCAGGUCAUAGUGAUCCGGUGGUUCUGAAUGGAAGGGCCAUCGCUCAACGGAUAAAAGGUACUCCGGGGAUAACAGGCUGAUACCGCCCAAGAGUUCAUAUCGACGGCGGUGUUUGGCACCUCGAUGUCGGCUCAUCACAUCCGGGCUGAAGUAGGUCCCAAGGGUAUGGCUGUUCGCCAUUUAAAGUGGUACGCGAGCUGGGUUUAGAACGUCGUGAGACAGUUCGGUCCCUAUCUGCCGUGGGCGCUGGAGAACUGAGGGGGGCUGCUCCUAGUACGAGAGGACCGGAGUGGACGCAUCACUGGUGUUCGGGUUGUCAUGCCAAUGGCACUGCCCGGUAGCUAAAUGCGGAAGAGAUAAGUGCUGAAAGCAUCUAAGCACGAAACUUGCCCCGAGAUGAGUUCUCCCUGACUCCCUGAGAGUCCUGAAGGAACGUUGAAGACGACGACGUUGAUAGGCCGGGUGUGUAAGCGCAGCGAUGCGUUGAGCUAACCGGUACUAAUGAACCGUGAGGCUUAACCU
rnacentral:rRNA from 1 species